rnacentral:rRNA from 1 species
AUUACUAAGCGGAGGAAGAGAAACUAACAAGGAUUCCCUCAGUAACGGCGAGUGAAGCGGGAAUAGCCCAGCACCGAAUCCCCUGCCCUCCGGCAGCGGGAACUGUGGUGUUCGGGACGACCUUCGUUCGUCGGCCGGGCGCCCGAGUCCUCCUGAUCGGGGCCCUACCCAGAGCGGGUGUAAGGCCUCUACGGCGUCUGGCCGGCGAGCCCGGGGAGUCCUCGGAGUCGGGUUGUUUGAGAUUGCAGCCCAAAGCGGGUGGUAAACUCCAUCUAAGGCUAAAUACUGGCACGAGUCCGAUAGCGAACAAGUACCGUGAGGGAAAGUU